CAUCAGGUAACAUCAAAUCGUACCCCAAACCGACACAGGUGGUCAGGUAGAGAAUACCAAGGCGCUUGAGAGAACUCGGGUGAAGGAACUAGGCAAAAUGGUGCCGUAACUUCGGGAGAAGGCACGCUGAUAUGUAGGUGAAGUCCCUCGCGGAUGGAGCUGAAAUCAGUCGAAGAUACCAGCUGGCUGCAACUGUUUAUUAAAAACACAGCACUGUGCAAACACGAAAGUGGACGUAUACGGUGUGACGCCUGCCCGGUGCCGGAAGGUUAAUUGAUGGGGUCAGCGCAAGCGAAGCUCUUGAUCGAAGCCCCGGUAAACGGCGGCCGUAACUAUAACGGUCCUAAGGUAGCGAAAUUCCUUGUCGGGUAAGUUCCGACCUGCACGAAUGGCGUAAUGAUGGCCAGGCUGUCUCCACCCGAGACUCAGUGAAAUUGAACUCGCUGUGAAGAUGCAGUGUACCCGCGGCAAGACGGAAAGACCCCGUGAACCUUUACUAUAGCUUGACACUGAACAUUGAGCCUUGAUGUGUAGGAUAGGUGGGAGGCUUUGAAGUGUGGACGCCAGUCUGCAUGGAGCCGACCUUGAAAUACCACCCUUUAAUGUUUGAUGUUCUAACGUGGACCCGUGAUCCGGGUUGCGGACAGUGUCUGGUGGGUAGUUUGACUGGGGCGGUCUCCUCCUAAAGAGUAACGGAGGAGCACGAAGGUUGGCUAAUCCUGGUCGGACAUCAGGAGGUUAGUGCAAUGGCAUAAGCCAGCUUGACUGCGAGCGUGACGGCGCGAGCAGGUGCGAAAGCAGGUCAUAGUGAUCCGGUGGUUCUGAAUGGAAGGGCCAUCGCUCAACGGAUAAAAGGUACUCCGGGGAUAACAGGCUGAUACCGCCCAAGAGUUCAUAUCGACGGCGGUGUUUGGCACCUCGAUGUCGGCUCAUCACAUCCUGGGGCUGAAGUAGGUCCCAAGGGUAUGGCUGUUCGCCAUUUAAAGUGGUACGCGAGCUGGGUUUAGAACGUCGUGAGACAGUUCGGUCCCUAUCUGCCGUGGGCGCUGGAGAACUGAGGGGGGCUGCUCCUAGUACGAGAGGACCGGAGUGGACGCAUCACUGGUGUUCGGGUUGUCAUGCCAAUGGCACUGCCCGGUAGCUAAAUGCGGAAGAGAUAAGUGCUGAAAGCAUCUAAGCACGAAACUUGCCCCGAGAUGAGUUCUCCCUGACCCUUUAAGGGUCCUGAAGGAACGUUGAAGACGACGACGUUGAUAGGCCGGGUGUGUAAGCGCAGCGAUGCGUUGAGCUAACCGGUACUAAUGAACCGUGAGGCUUAACCUU
rnacentral:rRNA from 1 species